rnacentral:rRNA from 1 species
CCUACGGGCGGCAGCAGUGAGGAAUAUUGGUCAAUGGGCGCGAGCCUGAACCAGCCAAGCCGCGUGAGCGAAUACAGUCCUAUGGAUUGUAAACCUCUUUUGUCGGGGAGCAAAAGACGCCACGCGUGGCGUUCCGUGUGUACCUGCAGAAAUAGCAUCGGCUAACUCCGUGCCAGCAGCCGCGGUAAUACGGAGGAUGCGAGCGUUAUCGGGAUUUAUUGGGUUUAAAGGGUGCGCAGGCGGAGGGUCAAGUAAGAGGUAAAAUUGAGGGGCUCAACCUCUUUGAGCAGUUGAAACUGGUUUUCUUGAGUGAGUGAGAGGUAUGCGGAAUGCGUGGUGUAGCGGUGAAAUGCAUAGAUAUCACGAAGAACACCGGUGGUGAAGGCGGCAUACCGGCGCGCAACUGACGCUGAUGCGCGAAAGUGUGGGUAUCGAACAGGAUUAGAUACCCUUGUAGUC